GACAGUGUGGCAUAGUGGUUUGAACAUUGGACUACAACUCUGGAAACCUGAGUUUGAAUCUCUGCUUGGGCA